GUUCACAUCACAUUGGAACACCAGUUCUCAUAUGAUCACUGAAGUUAAGCAACAUUGAGCCUGAUCAGUACCUAGAUGAGUGGCUAUUUGGAAAUACCAGGUGCUAUA